rnacentral:misc_RNA from 1 species
GAAAUGCGAUAAGUAAUGUGAAUUGCAGAAUUCAGUGAAUCAUCGAAUCUUUGAACGCACAUUGCGCCCGCCAGUAUUCUGGCGGGCAUGCCUUUUCGAGCGUCAUUACAACCCUCAGGCCCCCGGGCCUGGCGUUGGGGAUCGGCGGAAGCCCCCUGCGGGCACAACGCCGUCCCCCAAAUACAGUGGCGGUCCCGCCGCAGCUUCCAUUGCGUAGUAGCUAACACCUCGCAACUGGAGAGCGGCGCGGCCACGCCGUAAAACACCCAACUUCUGAAUGUUGACCUCGAAUCAGGUAGGAAUACCCGCUGAACUUAAGC